GGAGGCGGCCUGCGGAGCAGCCUCCUGUGUACUUUCACUUCUGUCAUCGUGUUUCCCCUUUUUUAAAUAUAAAACGGUUAAAUGGCUUUAAAUUUUUAUAUGGUUUCAGCAGAGGGCAGUAGAUUUUCUCUUAAUGAAUUCUACCUUCUGGGCUGUCACCUCCCAGUGAUGCUCUGUGUUGUGAGAAGUUACCUGGAACCGAGCAUUAAGAUUGAAGUGAGAGGAAGCCAUUGUUCAAGCGAGCCGUGAGCUUGGAAACAAGUGAAAACACUUCCCUGGAAGGAGUUCCUGACCUGGUGCUGCUCCUGCUGCGUGUCCCGUGCUGCUGCCACACGGCUGGGAGACAGAGUCUGGAAGCGGUGGAGAAGCUGUCCCGGGCAUAGCUGGAAGGUCUGCAACCAAACCACCUCCAAGCAAACGUGCCACCUCAACUUUCAGGUUCUUCAACCUUAUUUACUUUGUUUUAAGCAUUUGAAAUAAAUAGGAAAAGGAGGGGAUUUUCUUGUCGAGG
rnacentral:lncRNA from 1 species